rnacentral:lncRNA from 1 species
CUGUGUAUCCCUGACUGUCCUGGAACUUGGUUUGUAAACCAGGCUGGCCUCAAACUGUGAUUCAAGGCGUGUACCCCCGCCACCUGGCCACUUCUCCAUCUGUCAUGGUACUUCACAGUCUAUAUGUUCCAAUCAUCUGAAAGUACUGUGGUUUGCUUGUUUGUUUAAGUACUGUGCUUUCUUGACUUCUUUACCUUUUCAUCUUCUUUUCUCUUUUUUAAACUCUUCCUUAGACAGUCUUUAUUUUUUCUCUUUUGUUAAAUUUCUUAAAGCUCAGUUGAAGAGGAAAGUUCAUAAUAAGUCAAAGUGGCAUGUAGGUAACAAAAUAAAGCGAAGGAAACUUUCACAAGCAAAAGACAAUGGCCAAACUGCUGUGAAUAAUCAAGUCAGGAGUAGUGAUACGGAGGAAAGUCAGCCCACAAGCACAGAGCACAAUGAGCUGGGAAACACGGGAGAGUCUUCCGUAGAAGAGAAUGAGAAGCAGAAUGUCUCCGAAAACAACCUAGACCUGAAAAAUACCUCGAGUACCUCCAAUAUUGAGAAUGAGCUUGAAGAAUCUAAUGAAAUUACAGAGUGUACAGACUUGAGAAAAGAGAACAUUGAUUGCAGUGGAGAUGCUUCUAGCUCCCAGGUCAUAGACAUUCCUGAUGAAAAUGAAUCCAAAGAAAUGUGUAUUCUGCGAAUGACUCGAGCUAGACGUUCCCAGGUAGAGCAGCAGCAGCUCAUCAGUGUGGAGAAGGCCCUGGCGAUUCUCUCUCAGCCCACACCCUCGCUUGUUGUGGACCAUAGGCGCUUAAAAGUACGUCAGACUGAAAUUACAGGGUUCCCUUGGCAUGUUCUCUUCCUCACACAAGCGAGGAAGGAUUGCAGACUAAUAGUGCAUUAGCUACAUAGAGACUUCUCUUAGCUUCCUUGUCCUUGGGAUGGAGAGCUGGGUCAGAGGUUAAGAGCUCUGGCUGCUCUAAAGACCUAGGUUCAAUCCCCAGCACCCACGUGGCCUCUAGGCAUCAGGCAUGCACAUGGAACACCUUAAAUAUUUAAGUAAAUAGAUGUCUUUAAAAAAUGUCUGGCCAGGCGUUGGUGGCAUAUGCCUUAAUCCCAGCACUCGGGAGGCA